GGGAAUGUGGCCUAGUGGUAGAGUGCUUGCCUGGCAUGCAUGAAGCCCUGGGUUCGAUUCCUCAGUACCA
rfam:Dipodomys ordii contig_70983, whole genome shotgun sequence.